UACGGAGGGUCCAAGCGUUAUCCGGAAUCAUUGGGUUUAAAGGGUCCGUAGGCGGUUUUGUAAGUCAGUGGUGAAAGCCCAUCGCUCAACGGUGGAACGGCCAUUGAUACUGCAAGACUUGAAUUAUUAGGAAGUAACUAGAAUAUGUAGUGUAGCGGUGAAAUGCUUAGAGAUUACAUGGAAUACCAAUUGCGAAGGCAGGUUACUACUAAUGGAUUGAUGCUGAUGGACGAAAGCGUGGGGAGCGAACAGG
rnacentral:rRNA from 1 species